rnacentral:ribozyme from 1 species
GAAAGAAACAUGUUUUAAAAAAAAUGAGAAAAAGAGAAAGAAUUGCCGCGGAAACCCAAACCUUCCCAACCGCUUUUCUUUUUUUCUUCUUCUUUUAUUUUCUCCUUUUUUGUCUUAUUUUCUUCUUUUCUGUUUUUUAGAAAUAAGAA